rnacentral:rRNA from 1 species
UACGAAGGGGGCUAGCGUUGCUCGGAAUUACUGGGCGUAAAGGGCGCGUAGGCGGAUGAUUAAGUCGAGGGUGAAAUCCCGGGGCUCAACCCCGGAACUGCCUUUGAAACUGGAGAGCUAGAAUCUUGGAGAGGCGAGUGGAAUUCCGAGUGUAGAGGUGAAAUUCGUAGAUAUUCGGAAGAACACCAGUGGCGAAGGCGACUCGCUGGACAAGUAUUGACGCUGAGGUGCGAAAGCGUGGGGAGCAAACAGG